rnacentral:rRNA from 1 species
UUCUCUGCCACCGAAUACAUUAGCAUGGGAUAAUGGAAUAGGACCCUGUCCUCCUAUUUUCAGUUGGUUUUGACACGCGAGGACCAGGGUAAUGAUUAAUAGGGAUAGUUGGGGGCAUUAAUAUUUAAUUGUCAGAGGUGAAAUUCUUGGAUUUAUGAAAGAUUAACUUCUGCGAAAGCAUCUGCCAAGGAUGUUUUCAUUAAUCAAGAACGAAAGUUAGGGGAUCGAAGACGAUCAGAUACCGUCGUAGUCUUAACCAUAAACGAUGCCGACCAGCGAUUAGGAGACGU